AGUGAACGCUGGCGGUAGGCCUAACACAUGCAAGUCGAACGGCAGCACAGUAAGAGCUUGCUCUUACGGGUGGCGAGUGGCGGACGGGUGAGGAAUACAUCGGAAUCUACUUUUUCGUGGGGGAUAACGUAGGGAACCUUACGCUAAUACCGCAUACGACCUACGGGUGAAAGCAGGGGAUCUUCGGACCUUGCGCGAUUGAAUGAGCCGAUGUCGGAUUAGCUAGUUGGCGGGGUAAAGGCCCACCAAGGCGACGAUCCGUAGCUGGUCUGAGAGGAUGAUCAGCCACACUGGAACUGAGACACGGUCCAGACUCCUACGGGAGGCAGCAGUGGGGAAUAUUGGACAAUGGGCGAAAGCCUGAUCCAGCCAUACCGCGUGGGUGAAGAAGGCCUUCGGGUUGUAAAGCCCUUUUGUUGGGAAAGAAAAGCAGCAGGUUAAUACCCCGCUGUUCUGACGGUACCCAAAGAAUAAGCACCGGCUAACUUCGUG
rnacentral:rRNA from 1 species